UACGAAGGGGGCUAGCGUUGUUCGGAUUUACUGGGCGUAAAGCGCACGUAGGCGGAUUGGUCAGUUAGGGGUGAAAUCCUGGAGCUCAACUCCAGAACUGCCUUUAAUACUGCCAGUCUCGAGUCCGGAAGAGGUAAGUGGAACUCCUAGUGUAGAGGUGGAAUUCGUAGAUAUUCGCAAGAACACCAGUGGCGAAGGCGGCUUACUGGUCCGGUUCUGACGCUGAGGCGCGAAAGCGUGGGGAGCAAACGGG
rnacentral:rRNA from 1 species